rnacentral:other from 1 species
CCCAUCCUGAGGUAUUCGCCAGGUUACCAAUCCCCUGAGCCGAUGCUUUUAAACCCGGAGAGUUCCAGCUAGUAUCGGUGUGCAUGUCCGCGUGACGGAAAGCCUAAAGAUGCUACGGAACAAUCCACCUUGAACCACUGGGUUCAAGGGUCACGUAGCCAGCGGUACCUCGGGGCCUUA